rnacentral:rRNA from 1 species
CCCUACGGGGUGCAGCAGGCGCGAAACCUCCUCAAUGCACUAACGUGCGAAGGGGUUACCUCGAGUGCUAUCUGAAGAAGGUGGCUUUUCCAUGGUCUAAAAAGCCUAGGGAAUAAGAGGGGGGCAAGACUGGUGUCAGCCGCCGCGGUAACACCAGCCCCUCGAGUGGUGGGGAUGAUUAUUUGGCCUAAAGCGUCCGUAGCCGGCCGGACAAGUUUCCCGUUAAAUCCAAUGUCUCAAGCAUUGGACUGCGGGAAAUACUGUCUGGCUAGAGAGUGGGAGAGGUCAGCGGUAUUCUGGGGGUAGGGGCGAAAUCCUUUGAUCCCCGGAGGACCACCAGUGGCGAAGGCUGCUGACUAGAACACGUCUGACGGUCAGGGACGAAAGCUGGGGUAGCGAACCGGAUUAGAUACCCGGGUAGUCCCAGCCGUAAACGAUGCAUGCUAGGUGUUGGGUUGGCCACGAGCCACCCCAGUGCCGCAGGGAAGCCGUUAAGCAUGCCGCCUGGGAAGUACGAUCGCAAGAUUGAAACUUAAAGGAAUUGGCGGGGGAGCACCACCAGGCGUGAAGCCUGCGGUUUAAUUGGAGUCAACGCCGGGAACCUUACCGGAAGCGACAGCAGAAUGAAAGCCAGAUUGAAGAUCUUACCAGACGAGCUGAGAAGAGGUGCAUGGCCAA